rnacentral:lncRNA from 1 species
CACCUCCACUCUAUAUCUCUCAAUCUAGUAGAAACUAGAAGAUCUAAUUCUACUCACAUUGGAUGCUAAGCCUAAAAGAAAUUUUAUUUAGAGGAGAGGUAUUCCUUCGAGGGCUCCUCUCAACUCUAUGAUGAACUUGUUCUCCUCCAGGGGCAAGGGGUCUGGUUAUAUAGUCCCCUUAAGCGAAUCUGGGCCGUCGGAUCAAACUGACAUUGAUUGAACGGUUAUCCUUGAUCCUUUAGGUCGGUGGAGCGUAAUCCCCGAAGAGAGUCUUGAUUGGACUCUGGGACAGGGCGGGCGCCCUGCCCCCAGGCCC